rnacentral:rRNA from 1 species
CGUACGGGGGGCAGCAGUGGGGAAUAUUGGACAAUGGGCGCAAGCCUGAUCCAGCAAUACCGCGUGUGUGAAGAAGGCCUUAGGGUUGUAAAGCACUUUCAAUGGGGAGGAAAACCUACCGGUCAAUACCCGGUAGCUUGACAUUACCUGUAGAAGAAGCACCGGCUAACUCCGUGCCAGCAGCCGCGGUAAUACGGAGGGUGCUAGCGUGGCGCGGAAUUUGCGGGCGUGAAGCGUGAAGUCACGGGUGAAAGCCCCGGGCUUAACCUGGGAACUGCAUUUGAAACUGGCGGACUAGAGUUGAGUAGAGGGGAGUGGAAUUUCAGGUGUAGCGGUGAAAUGCGUAGAUAUCUGAAGGAACACCAGUGGCGAAGGCGACUCCCUGGACUCAAACUGACGCUGAGGUACGAAAGCGUGGGUAGCAAACAGGAUUAGAUACCCGAGUAGUC